GUCUCUUUUCUUUCCAGACUCAGUCGGCUACUUCAGUUUGUCAGUUGGCUCUGCUGUAGUACGAGUUUCUGGAGAGGCCGAGCCGCCGAGAGAGGGGAAGCGAUUCUGUUCGCCGUAUGCGGGUCUUGCUCACCGCCGCCCUCCGGUGAAGGUUUCAGAGGCAGCAGGGGUUCGAGUGCUCAUCGGCGGCGUGGGGUUCCUCUCUGCGCCGUACCCUACUCUGUGCAGGGCCGAGAGGGGUUUGCUUUUCUGCCAGCCUCCGGUGAGUCUCUGAUUUUUUGCUCGCUCGUCGUGGUUGGUUGGGGACGGAUGUGCAGCAGAAGCAGCUGUUGAUUUCUCUUUGAAUCCCUCGUUUUCUGGUUCGUGUCGGAGCAUGCUUCGGGCUGGGCUGGUGUAACGGAUCAUUGGCGCAGAUAUGAUUUCGGAAAUGAUUUGUGUGGGUUUUGGUACAUAGGAUUCUAGCGUAUUCUGAAAUUUUCAGAUUGAAUUGGUGCAAAUUUUGAGGUUAUUUCUGCUGGCGACACUGGAUCUUAUAAGAAGGAAUUUAGCUCGCAACAUGACUCUGACCGUUGUGAUGUGGAGCAGCUGUUGGUGAUUCUGUGAAUGACAGUGCAUUUUGGUGAUAUAUUUUGAGUGCAAUAUUCAUUUCAGGAACUCAAACAAGCAGGACCAGAGAUUGAUUUCAAAACUAGAGGUGUUUUAUCUGAAAAUAAUCGCAGAAACUAAAAAUAGGGGCACCUCGCUCACCUUUCCCGUCCACGUCUUGGAGAGAGGCUUGUCCUCUCCCACCUGGACUCGCCAUUCCUGCUCAGUCAGAACAUCAUCCACCAGAGCUGCUUCACCCCCUGCAAAAGGACUGCAGCAGGCAGGUUGAGAUACUUGGAUCCUCUGGCGGCAGUGUGAAGCGGCUCGUAGACGAUAUGACCACAGCGGUCUUGGUGGUUUCUACUACUUCA